rnacentral:rRNA from 1 species
UACGUAGGGUGCAAGCGUUAAUCGGAAUUACUGGGCGUAAAGCGUGCGCAGGCGGUUUUGUAAGUUUGUCGUGAAAUCCCCGGGCUCAACCUGGGAACUGCAUUUGUGACUGCAUCGCUGGAGUGCGGCAGAGGGGGAUGGAAUUCCGCGUGUAGCAGUGAAAUGCGUAGAUAUGCGGAGGAACACCGAUGGCGAAGGCAAUCCCCUGGGCCUGCACUGACGCUCAUGCACGAAAGCGUGGGGAGCAAACAGG